UACGAAGGGGGCUAGCGUUGCUCGGAAUUACUGGGCGUAAAGCGCACGUAGGCGGCCUGUUAAGUCGGGGGUGAAAUCCUGGAGCUCAACUCCAGAACUGCCUUCGAUACUGGCGAGCUCGAGUUCGGGAGAGGUGAGUGGAACUGCGAGUGUAGAGGUGAAAUUCGUAGAUAUUCGCAAGAACACCAGUGGCGAAGGCGGCUCACUGGCCCGAUACUGACGCUGAGGUGCGAAAGCGUGGGGAGCAAACAGG
rnacentral:rRNA from 1 species